UCCCUUAUGGGGUGCAGCAGGCGCGAAACCUUUACAAUGUACGGAAGUGCGAUAAGGGGACUCUCAGUGCUCAUGUUUUACAUGGGCUUUUGUUAACUGUAAAUAAGUUGACGAAUAAGUGGUGGGAAAGACGGGUGCCAGCCGCCGCGGUAACACCUGCGCCACGAGUAGCAAUCACGUUUAUUGGGCCUAAAGCGUUCGUAGCCGGAUAGGUAAGUCUUGAGUGAAAUCGUUGCGCUUAACAAAACGACGUGCUUGAGAGACUAUUUAUCUUGGGACCGGGAGGAGUUAGGGGUAUUCCUGAGGGAGCGGUAAAAUGUUAUAAUCUCAGGAGGACCAUCUGUGGCGAAGGCGCCUAACUAGAACGGAUCCGACGGUCAGGAACGAAAGCUAGGGGAGCAAACCGGAUUAGAUACCCGAGUAGUCCUAGCCGUAAACGCUGUGUACUAGAUGUUGCAUAUCCUACGUGGUUAUGCAUUGUCGGAGCGAAGGUAUUAAGUACACCGCCUGGGAAGUACGGUCGCAAGGCUGAAACUUAAAGGAAUUGGCGGGGGAGCACCACAAGGGGUGCGGCGUGCGGUUUAAUCUAACUUUACGCAGAGAAUCUCACCAGCAGCGACGGUAGAAUGAAAGUCAGAUUGAAUGUCUUACCUGACGAGCCGAGAGGGAGGUGCAUGGGCCAA
rnacentral:rRNA from 1 species